rnacentral:rRNA from 1 species
AUUGAACGCUGGCGGCAGGCCUAACACAUGCAAGUCGCACGAAUGGCGGACGGGUGAGUAAUGUCUGGGAAACUGCCUGAUGGAGGGGGAUAACUACUGGACACGGUAGCUAAUACCGCAUACCAUCGGAUGUGCCCAGAUGGGAUUAGCUAGUAGGUGGGGUAAAGGCUCACCUGGGCGACGAUCCCUAGGUGGUCUGAGAGGAUGACCAGCCACACUGGAACUGAGACACGGUACAGACUCCUACGGGAGGCAGCAGUGGGUAAUAUUGCACAAUGGGCGCAAGCCUGAUGCAGCCAGGCCGCGUGUAUGAAGAAGGCCUUCGGGUUGUAAAGUACUUUCAGCGGGGAGGCGUUACCCGCAGAAGAAGCACCGGCUAACUCCGUGCAAGCAGCCGCGGUAAUUC